rfam:Rhodotorula graminis WP1 unplaced genomic scaffold RHOBAscaffold_8, whole genome shotgun sequence.
UCUUCGAUAGUAUAGUGGCUAGUAUAUUGCCUUGUCAAUCCCUCAUCGGGAUCAACGCGGCAGAGACCCGGGUUCAAUUCCCGGUCGAAGAG